rfam:Felis catus isolate Cinnamon breed Abyssinian chromosome F2, whole genome shotgun sequence.
GCCUGGGUGGCUCAGUUGGUUGAGCGCCUGACUUCGGCCCAGGCCAUGAUUUCAUGGUUCGUGGGUUCAAGCCCCACGUUGGGCU